GAUGAACGCUGGCGGCGUGCUUAACACAUGCAAGUCGAACGGACACACGAGGAGCUUUCUCCUCUGACGUUAGAGGGGGACGGGAGAGUACCAUGUGUACAACCUACCUAUAAGAAUCGGAUAACAACGGGAAAUAGGACCUAAUACCGGAUAAUAUAUUGAACCGCAUGGUUCAAUAGUUAAAGACGUUUUUGCUGUCACUUAUAGAUGGAUCCGCGCCGCAUUAUCUAGUUGGUAAGGUAACGGCUUACCAAGGUAACGAUGCGUAGCCGACCUGGAAGGGAGGAUGAGCCCCCUGGAACUGAGGACCGGUCCAAACUCCUACGGGAGGCAGCAGUAGGGAAUCUUCGGCGAAGGGGGGAAGCCUGGCGCAGCAACGGCGCGUGAGUGAUGGAGGUCUUCGGAGCGUAAAACUCUGUUAUUAGGGAAGAAAACAUCUGUAAUUAACUAUGCACGUCUUGACGGUACCUAAUCAAAAAGCCACGGCUAACUACGUG
rnacentral:rRNA from 1 species